rnacentral:rRNA from 1 species
GAUGAACGCUGGCGGCGUGCUUAACACAUGCAAGUCGAACGAUGAAGCCCAGCUUGCUGGGUGGAUUAGUGGCGAACGGGUGAGUAACACGUGAGUAACCUGCCCUUGAAUCUGGGAUAAGCCUGGGAAACUGGGUCUAAUACUGGAUAUGACUUCUCAUCGCAUGGUGGGGGGUGGAAAGAUUUAUUGGUCUUGGAUGGACUCGCGGCCUAUCAGCUUGUUGGUGAGGUAAUGGCUCACCAAGGCGACGACGGGUAGCCGGCCUGAGAGGGUGACCGGCCACACUGGGACUGAGACACGGCCCAGACUCCUACGGGAGGCAGCAGUGGGGAAUAUUGCACAAUGGGCGCAAGCCUGAUGCAGCGACGCCGCGUGAGGGAUGACGGCCUUCGGGUUGUAAACCUCUUUCAGUAGGGAAGAAGCGAGAGUGACGGUACCUGCAGAAGAAGCGCCGGCUAACUACGUG